rnacentral:rRNA from 1 species
UACGGGGGGGGCAAGCGUUGUUCGGAAUUACUGGGCGUAAAGGGCGCGUAGGCGGCUGGAUAAGUCAGCUGUGAAAACCACGGGCUUAACUCGUGGCCUGCAGUUGAGACUGUCUGGCUUGAGUGUGGGAGAGGAGAGUGGAAUUCCUGGUGUAGCGGUGAAAUGCGUAGAUAUCAGGAGGAACACCGGUGGCGAAGGCGGCUCUCUGGACCACAACUGACGCUGAGGCGCGAAAGCUAGGGGAGCAAACAGG